rnacentral:ncRNA from 1 species
CGGGAGGAUUAGUCUCCCAGGUUAGCCCGCAAUUCUUAUGAGUAACUCCUGUAACGGUACCCCCAUUUUCACAGCGAAGGUCAUCUCCCAAAGCUAUCGCAGUCAGCCCUAGAAGGACUAAGCUCGCUAUUAUUGCU